GUUUGGUUAAGUUAGAAAGGGCGCACGGUGGAUGCCUUGACACUAGGAGUCGAUGAAGGACGGGACUAACGCCGAUAUGCUUCGGGGAGCUGUAAGUAAGCUUUGAUCCGAAGAUUUCCGAAUGGGGAAACCCACCAUACGUAAUGGUAUGGUAUCCUUAUCUGAAUACAUAGGGUAAGGAAGACAGACCCAGGGAACUGAAACAUCUAAGUACCUGGAGGAAGAGAAAGCAAAUGCGAUUUCCUGAGUAGCGGCGAGCGAAACGGAACAUAGCCCAAACCAAGAGGCUUGCCUCUUGGGGUGGUAGGACAGUCUAUACGGAGUUAAAAAGGAACGAGGUAGACGAAGCGACAGGGAAAGGUACGUCGUAGAGGGUAAC
rnacentral:rRNA from 1 species